CAAAGAUAACUAAGCAUGAUCCCUGUCCCUAAGGAACUAGUGUGUGGUCAAUAAAUUCACUCAACAGAACUGGACUGAAAACUGAGCCUUGGCUGAAAGAUGAAAGGAAAAACCAUUUCAGCACAAAGAACAGCACAUUCUAAGGUGGGGAGGCCAAAACAGCAUGUCAUAUACUCAGAGAACUCAUGGAGUUUGCACAUUGUAGAGUGAAAUAUUAAAAGGAAGAGUACAGCAAAUGAAGCAAGAUAGUCAGACGAGGUCAAAAUCUAAAGGGCUUUAUCUUUUCUACAUCAUCUUUGAGUGGUUGGGCAAUGGUCGAAGUUGCCUUUUAGAAAUAUCUGGUGAUGAAAUGUGAAGUUCAGAUUAGACAGAGAGAGCUGGAGGGCUAACCUUUGGUCAACAUGAAAAUGAGGACUUUGAUGAUAUCAAGAAAUAGAAUAAGGAGUUAAGGUUAUACUGAACUGUGAAUAGAGAGGAGAGAGAGGGAGAAAGAGAGGAAGAGAAAUAUCAAUUGGCCACCUCUGGCACACCCUCAAGCAGAGACCUGGCUCACAACUCAGGUAUGUGCCCUAACUGGGAAUUGAACCAGCGACCUUUACUUGUGGGAUGCUGCCCAAUCAACUGAGCCACACCAGCCAGAGUGAAGCAUUGUUGUUUUAAACGUAACUAUAUAUUUUUUUUGUUUAAAGA